AUCCUGGCUUAGGACGAACGCUGGCGGCGUGCCUAACACAUGCAAGUCGAGCGGAGUCAGUAAGAGGAAGUUUCGGAUGGAAUCUGUUGAUUAGCGGCGGACGGGUGAGUAACGCGUGAGCGACCAACCUUGCACAGGGGGAUAACGGACCGAAAGGUUCACUAAUACCGCAUGAGACCACGGUGUUGCAUGACACAGAGGUCAAAGGAGCAAUCCGGUGCAAGACGGGCUCGCGUCCGAUUAGGUAGUUGGAGGGGUAACGGCCCACCAAGCCUAUGAUCGGUAGCCGACCUGAGAGGGUGAUCGGCCACAUUGGAACUGAGAUACGGUCCAAACUCCUACGGGAGGCAGCAGUGGGGAAUAUUGGGCAAAUGGGGGAAACCCUGACCCAGCAACGCCGCGUGAAGGAAGAAGGUUUUCGGAUUGUAAACUUCUGUCCUUGGUGAAGAGAAGAAGACGGUAGCCAAGGAGGAAGCCCCGGCUAACUACGUGCCAGCCGCAGC
rnacentral:rRNA from 1 species